GCCCUCCAGGACCAGCAGGUUGCAAAGUGCCAGACCCUCAGCCCAGACCCAGUCCACAGCCCGGGCCCAGGGCUCAACAAGGGUGAGCCACAGAAGAAGAGAGGGAGAGAGAAAGAGACACCAGCAGCACAGCUCCACCACUUGUGCAGAUGGAGUGCAUCCUACAGAGCUGUUUAAGACAAGAAGUAAUGGAAGGCUCGGAUGCACCUAGCUCAGAGCACUAGUUACAACAUGAUGGGUUCCAGACACGGGUCC